AGGUGAGGGACCUGCUACUUACCCUUUGGACUCCCCAUAUGCGGACAGAUAAGCUGUUUUAAUUAUUCAAUCCUGCUGCCGCGCAGAGGAGGAAGUCGGCCUGAGCAUCGCUGCGGGAAGCGCCGUGGAGACCAGGGGAGACGACAGGUGCUGCGGAGAGCCGGGAGCCAUGACGGAUGACGAGACCCGCCAGCCGCCGCCAAAGGAGACCCGCCAGCCGCCGCCACUUGCCGGCGGAAGCAGCAGGAGAAGCUGAUAAAGAAUGAGGUGCUCCCAGCCCAGGAGAUGCCCGAACAGGUACCUCACCCUGGGAGGCAGGAGACCACACCACCCGCAGAGAGAGAUGAGCCGAAACAAGACCAGGCAAGACUGGUGCCCUCUGCACCCCGUGCAAAGCAAGCACCCCCUCCACCUCGGGCAAGACUGGCACCUCCUGCACCCCGGGAGAGAAAAGUGCCCCCACCACCUCGGGCAAGAAAAGGUCCAACAUCUCGCCCAAGACAGGUGCCCCCACCACCUCGGGCACGUCAGCCACCUCCCCCACCCCGGGUAAGACAGGCACCUCCGCCUCCCCGGGCAAGGCAGGCACCCCUGCCAUAGAGGCAUUUAUCAACGCCAUAGUCAUCUAAGAGGCAUGCCUUAACAAACAUCAAAGGCAUGCGAGCCUCACCACCAUCAGAGGCAAGCGCCCUCACCACCGUCAGAGGCAUGCGCCCUCAAUACCAUCAGAGGCAUGCGCCCUCAAGACCAUCAGAGGUAUGCGCCCUCAACACCAUCAGAGGCAAGCGCCCUCACCAUCAGAGGCAUGCACCCUCACUACCAUCAGAGGUAUGCGCCCUCACCACCACCAUCGGAGAGGCACACACCUCUACCACCAUCGGAGAAAUGCCUGCAGACACAAAAAUCUUUUUAAUAAAAUACU